rnacentral:misc_RNA from 1 species
ACACCAGUAGGGAAAUUGAAAUAGAAGAAUCUGAGAAGGGACCUAGAGGAGAAGACGAGAAGAAGGAUAACGAGAAGAAAAACAAGAAAGAUAAAGAAGAAAAGAAGAAGAAAGUUGAAGAGAAAAACAAAAGUAGAGAUCUAGGAAAGUUGAAACAGAAAGUAGAGAAGUUAGAUGUUAAAAUAAAUGCCUUGCUUGAGAAAAAAGCAGACAUUAUGAGGCAAAUAAAAGAAGCUGAAGACGGAAAUUGCAACAUUGCUGCAAAAGCAGUGGAAGUGGCAUAACUCUGUGAGGUUGGUGCUCCGUCUUUUUCACCCUCAGCUUUGUAAAACAAAAUAUUGAGAUGUAUUCUUACAAGGUUUUCG